GAUGAAGAACGUAGUGAAAUGCGAUAAGUAAUGUGAAUUGCAGAAUUCAGUGAAUCAUCGAAUCUUUGAACGCAUCUUGCGCUCCUUGGUAUUCCUUGGAGCAUGCCUGUUUGAGUAUCAUGAGCAAAUCUCAAAGUCAAUUCCUUUUGUUAAUUCAAUUGGUUUUGCUUUGGACUUGGAGGUCUUGCAGAUUUUCACAGUCUGCUCCUCUUAAAUGCAUUAGCUGGAUCUCAGUAAUUAUGCUUGGUUCCACUCGGCGUGAUAAGUAUCACUCGCUGAGGACACUGUUAAAAAGGUGGCCAGGAAAAUACUGAUUGAACCGCUUCUAACGGUCUAUUAAGUUAGACAAUUACCCUUAAGUUUGAUCUCAAAUCAGGUAGGACUACCCGCUGAACUUAAGCAUAUCAAUAAGCGGAGGA
rnacentral:misc_RNA from 1 species